AGCAGCAGUGUCAUUCCAGCUAGACUUCUCUGGUUCCUUUUCAGUAUUAGCUUUAGCCCUCCAAUCCGACCCACGCUUGUCAGCUUCUUUUUUCUCACUUGUCUGCCAAGUAGCAGGUUUAUCCCAAGUAGACUUCUCAGCAGGGUUUUCCCAAGUAGACUUCUCAGCAGGUCUAUCCCAAGUAGACUUCUCAGCAGGUUUAUCCCAAGUAGACUUCUCAGCAAGUUUAUCCCAAGUAGACUUCUCAGCAGGUAUAUCCCAGGUAGACUUCUCAGAUUCAGCUUGAGUUCUUGACCCAGCUGCUCCCCAUCCACCAGGUACCUCUAAGGCACCGGAAGUACUUACCUUGGUAUCCCAGUCAGAUUUGCAAGAU
rnacentral:lncRNA from 1 species